rnacentral:lncRNA from 1 species
UUCAAAAGCAAAUCAACCCUAAGUCACUUUUCAUUUUUUUUUUCUGAAAACACAACAGCAGACUCAGCCCCUGUUCUACCCUGUCCGCCGCCUCAAAGGAUUCGAAGCCCCUUCAACUCCGAUCUGAUCGGGGCAAAUAAGGCUCCGUCUUCCUCCUCGCAGGUAAGUGUGUUUUCCUUUUAUUAUUUCUUUGAUUUGUGAAGAGAUGAACAAAAGAAAAAUAAAAAAGAAGGACGCGAGAAAUCAGAAAAAUCACCUUCAAGAUCCACUGCUGUAUUUUUAUUUUUGCCUUUUUGUAUUUCGUUUUACACUAAUUUUUUCCCCUUUCUUGUUUUUUUUAAAUUUAAUUUUCGUAACCCCCCUUUACAAAAAUCUCAAUCGCUUUUUAUAAUCGAAUCCUAGAGAAGAAAAUCCAAAUCAAAAUCCCCUUUAUUUUUGCUAUAUUUCCUGCUAUCUCUACUUCUCACUUGCUGUUCGUGGUCCAUUGUAGGUGCGACGUGCGCGAACGUGCGGGGAGAGUGACAACCACUGGCACACACGCACGGUGAGGGCCCGAUGGUUGCGGCGCCGCUGAAACUGCUACUAGGGUUAGGUUUUUUCUGAAACUGUUCAAAACUUUGGGCUAGUGGGUUGGGGUUUGUAAUGGGCUGUUAAUUAUUUGGUUUUUUAGCAAGGCCAAAAUUGGCCUAUUACAGUAUUAGUUUGCAUGAAUUUGAUUCUUUGAAUAACCUUCUUGUGGUGUCUUGGGUUUAAUUCAAAAUUUUCCGAAUUAUUAAUGGUUGAUGUGGAAAUUUGAUUAGGACCAUGUGAAAAAGUUAUCCUCUAAUUUUCUGAACUGUCAAGAUAUAGGUAUGUUAGGGGAAGCCUACUCUCUGUUUACUGGUAAGUUUAAUCUUGAGUGUUAUAUGAGGUGGAUAUCUUCAAUCUACAGUUUAUAUAUAUUUAAGGUCAGGGAAUAGCUGUUUCCAAUUACUUGAACACUUGGCUGUUUUCAUUUAAUCUACAGUUAAUAUAUAUUUAAGGCCACUUUCCUUACACAAGUGUUGUUUGAUUUUCGUUUUUAAAGGAAAAAUACAGUUUGUAUGGCGUUGUUGUGUGUUUUCAAAUAGAAUAGAAAGUAAGAGACUUUGG